GCAGUCUUACUGAAUUCAUUUCUUAGAUUUAAGAGGUUUUUAUGCAGAUUCAUUAGAAUUUUCCAUGUCCAAGAUUAUGUCAUCUGCUAAUAGAGAUAGUUGUAUUUUUUCUUUUCCAAUCUGGAUGACUUUUAUUUCUUUUCCUUGCCAAAUUGUCCGGGCCAGAUCCUUCAGUACAAUGUUGCGCAGUCACUGUGAGAAUAUCCAUCUGUCCUGAACUUGGGGGUAAAUCAUUCAGUCUUCACUAUUAAGUAUAAUGUUGGCUUGGGGCUUUUGUAAAUAACAUUUGUUUGGUUGAGCUAGUUUCCUUCUAUAACUAGCUUCCUGGGUCUUUUUUUUUUUUUUUUUAACUUUUUUGUUUUAAAUAGUGUGUGAUUUUGUCAAAUGCUUUUUCUGUAUCUAUCAUGUAUUUUUUUGUCCUUUAUUGUAUCGAGAUGGUAUUUUACCCUGACUUAUUUUUGAAUGUUAAAACAAGCUUGUAUUCCCGGGACAAAUCCUUGUUCAUGGAAAAUAAUCAGUUCUUUUCUAUAUAUUGCUGGAUGUAGUUUGUUAAUAUUUUGUUUAGAAAUCUUGC
rnacentral:lncRNA from 10 species